rnacentral:lncRNA from 1 species
CAAGGCCUUGAGGAUCCUCGGGUGGGGGGGCUGGAAAAGCAGGGGGGGGGGGGGGUCAGGGUCUCACCAGCCCCGCAGGACCCCCGGGGCUGUGACAGCCCCGCAGUUUUUCAGGUAUUUGUAGGAUUUUUUUCAGGGGGGGUUCAAAGUGAGCUAGGUGGGCUCAUCAUUAAAACCGUGGGGAGCAAUCCCAGCCCCACAGCAGCACCCCCCAAACACUCACCUCAACCCCCGAGCUCCCCCCGCACCGCAUCUGGGGGCUCCUCAGCCCCCCGCUGUCACCCUGCGGGCACAAAAAGGGACGAGUCGGGGUCACCCCCUGGCCCAGACACCCAGCGCUCCCCCCCCCGGUGCCCGUCCCAGCAGGGAUCAGAGUCCGAGUCCUCAACAGCAGCGUUCAGCCGAACGAGAUUCCUGAGGAAUUCAUCACGGCAGCAGGGACGGGCUGCGGGGUCCCUGCACCCCCCCGGCCCCUCACCUGCACAGCAGCACCAGGGCAGCUCCAGCUCAGCUCCAAUCCUGGAAGAAACGCCCCCGUUAGCUCAGCACCACACCACGUCCACCCCCAGCACCCCAGCCCCGCAUCCCCUCAGACCGUUCCCACAGAACGAGCCGUCCUCCUCUCCGGCCGCCGGCACCAGUGGGUUCAACCUUUGCAGGUUCUGGCGCCAGACGGGCAGUAAGACGCGUGAGGUUUUCCUCAUCGGGGACAAAGAACAGAAUUUGAUCAUAAAAAAAGAGCUGGAAACUCACCAUUGGCCCUCAGUCCGGGCCAGGCGGCUGUGGAGGGAAGGAGGGGUCAGCGCUGAAGGCAGCAGCGCAGCCCGGGCUGCCCGCUGCCGUCCGAUCAGGGCUUUGGUAACUCGGAUCUGCCAUGAGACUCGUGUCGUCCAGCUCAGCGUGUCAUCCCUUCGGACUGGCACCAGCCAGGCCCGCGCGCAGCAGGGGAGGCACACGCUUACCUGGGCCGGGGCAUCCCCGCUCCCGAGAGCUCAGCCUGCGGGAAGGAAAGCAGCCGUGAGGCAGCCGGCAGGAGGGAUGCUGCCACCGCUGGAACUGGAAUUCCACUGA